UGUGAGUGGCUUUAUUCUGGGUGGCAGCACCCCGUGUCCGGCUGUACCAACAACGAGGAGGCACGGGGGCCUCUGGAAUGCAUGAGAGUAGAAAAACCAGUCUUGGGAGCGUGAGGACAAAUCAUUCCUCUUCAUCCUCCUCAGCCAUGCCCAGGGUCCGGGUGCCUGGGGCCCGAGCAGGCUCCAGUCCCUGUUCCUCAGCAUCCCCCUCCACAUCCUGAGUAAGCUUUGUCCCCAGAUAACCUCUUCAGCAUGAUCCUUAAAUCUCCCUAAGCCUCAGUUUCUCCCCUGUGGAAUGGGGGUAAGAAUCUCUUUCUCUGAAUGCCCCUGUGUUAGGAAAUAAUUUAGAAUACUUUGGAAACUGGAAAAGCUCUGUUCACACCUAAGCAAUCAGGGCAGUGGCCUCGGCUCUGCCAGGAACUUUGGCUUUUAUCUGGAUCCUCUCUUUCCAGGCCUCUCAAUUAAUUCCCCAGGUCCUCAACCUUUGGGAAGUUAGAAAUGAGGAAGAGUGUCCUACUUCUGACACUGUUCCCUCUUGGAACCUGACCGUCAAUGCUAGAAGAACCCU
ensembl:lncRNA novel transcript